UGUAAUACAAUAACUUUAAAGGUGGUUGGAGAGAAUUGAUCUGAUUUCACCCUCUCGCCAUGGGCAUCCUUUGUCACGAUGAUUUUAAUUCUUGGAAGCAAGUAUUCUGGAUGUACUUUACCCGGUCAUAUAGCUUCGGACCCAAGACCACAGUCGAGG